rnacentral:rRNA from 1 species
CAAUAGCGUAUAUUAAAGUUGUUGCAGUUAAAAAGCUCGUAGUUGGAUUUCUGGGAGGGUGCCAAUGUCCGUCGUCGUACGUGUUGCAGCGGCGCCCUUCCAUCCUUCUGUUAACGACUUUGGGCAUUCAUUUGCCGGAGUCGGGCUCAGAUAUUUUACCUUGAGAAAAUUAGAGUGUUCAAAGCAGGCGUCGGCUUGAAUACAUUAGCAUGGAAUAAUGGAAUAGGACUUUGGUUCUAUUUUGUUGGUUUCUAGGACCGAAGUAAUGAUUAAUAGGGACAGUUGGGGGCAUUAGUAUUUAAUUGUCAGAGGUGAAAUUCUUGGAUUUAUGAAAGACUAACUACUGCGAAAGCAUUUGCCAAGGAUGUUUUCAUUAAUCAAGAACGAAAGUUAGGGGAUCGAAGACGAUCAGAUACCAU